GGACUUCCAUUGCUUCGGCAAAAGUCC
rnacentral:misc_RNA from 1 species